AUUGAACGCUGGCGGCAGGCCUAACACAUGCAAGUCGAACGAGUGGCGGACGGGUGAGUAAUGUCUGGGAAACUGCCUGAUGGAGGGGGAUAACUACUGGAAACGGUAGCUAAUACCGCAUACCAUCGGAUGUGCCCAGAUGGGCUUAGCUAGUAGGUGGGGUAAAGGCUCACCUAGGCGACGAUCCCUAGCUGGUCUGAGAGGAUGACCAGCCCACCUGGAAAUGGUGACCGGUUCCGACUCCUGCGGGAGGCAGCAGGGGGGAAUAUUGCACAAUUGGGGCAAGCCUGAUACAGCCAUGCCGGGUGUGUGAAGAAGGCCUUCGGGUUUGAAAGUACUUUCAGCGGGGAGGCGUUACCCGCAGAAGAAGCACCGGCUAACUCCGUGCCAGCAGCCGCGGUAAUUC
rnacentral:rRNA from 1 species